AGAGUUUGAUCCUGGCUCAGAAUCAACGCUGGCGGCGUGCCUCAGACAUGCAAGUCGAACGAUUAAACUUUCCUUCGGGAAAGAUAUAAAGUGGCGCACGGGUGAGUAACACGUAGGUAAUCUGCCUUUGAGUGGGGAAUAACGUUCGGAAACGAACGCUAAUACCGCAUAAUGCAGCGGCACCGCAAGGUGACAGUUGUUAAAGGAGCAAUCCGCUUAAAGAGGAGCCUGCGGCAGAUUAGCUAGUUGGUAGGGUAACGGCUUACCAAGGCGACGAUCUGUAUCCGACCUGAGAGGGUGGUCGGACACACUGACACUGAAUAACGGGUCAGACUCCUACGGGAGGCAGCAGUCGGGAAUUUUGGGCAAUGGGCGAAAGCCUGACCCAGCAACGCCGCGUGAAGGAUGAAGUCUUUCGGGAUGUAAACUUCGUAAGAAUAGGAAGAAUAAAUGACGGUACUAUUUGUAAGGUCCGGCUAACUACGUGCCAGCAGCCGCGGUAAUACGUAGGGACCAAGCGUUGUUCGGAUUUACUGGGCGUAAAGGGCGCGUAGGCGGCGUGACAAGUCACUUGUGAAAUCUCCGGGCUUAACUCGGAACGGUCAAGUGAUACUGUUGUGCUAGAGUGCAGAAGGGGCAAUCGGAAUUCUUGGUGUAGCGGUGAAAUGCGUAGAUAUCAAGAGGAACACCUGAGGUGAAGACGGGUUGCUGGGCUGACACUGACGCUGAGGCGCGAAAGCUAGGGUAGCAAACGGGAUUAGAUACCCCAGUAGUCC
rnacentral:rRNA from 1 species